UGCUAUCGGCGUGCAGUACGAGGAAACAGUCGAGCUACAGCAGAACUGCUGAAAUUUUGCAAAAUGGUGUGGAUUGACUGAGAGGGAAAGCGAAAGAACGAAGCUUUUUCUUCCCCCAAAGGAAAUGGAUGCAGCCGAAGCCCCUCUAUCGACCUCUCCAUCCCAAUCUAGUUUCAGCCAACAACGCCAUUUCUAUCAUGCUGUGGAUAGACUAAAGUUCAAGAUGGAGACAUUAGUCGAUCUAUUGGGCAUGGCGGGCCGUCUUCCUUGUUUGCCAAUGGUGGUUUGCUGCAGCACCCGGGAUGAGCUUGAUGCUGUUUACUCUGCCCUAUCCACCCUCUCCUACAUCUCUAUCUCUGCCGUGUACAGUGACCUCUCUGAGGCAGAAAGAGCACAGGUUUUUGCCACGUUUCGCCAGGCUGUGAUGAGGUGGAAUCGUCAACCCAUGGCUCAACCACAAGAUGCAGGGAAUGGAGAAAAGGAAGAGAAGUCUCACAUGAUUGUUGUGACAGAUGCUUGCCUUCCUCUGGUUAACUCUGGGGAGUUACCUUUUAAUGCCCGUGUCUUGAUUAAUUAUGAGUUACCAGCUAAAAAGGAAACGUAUAUGAGGCGCAUGGCUACUUGUUUGGCAGCAGAUGGAAUUGUGAUCAACAUGGUUGUUGGAGGUGAGGUUGUAGCGCUCAAAAACAUUGACGAAAACAGUGGCUUUCUAAUAGCAGAAAUGCCCAUAAAUAUUUUAGAGAUGCUGUGAAGAUUUCGAUCAGGCUGUUGGAAUGACAUAAAAUACACACAUAACAAACUAGACAAACUUCAUUCUGUUUCGAAUUUGCAAUUCUCAUUGUAAGUACCCAGGGAAAGCAGCUUAAAUUGACUAUUUUUUAAACAUGAUAUGUGCAGUCUGCUCCACAGUGUCCCGGGCAUGUUAAAAAGACGGGUUUUGGUGGGGACUCGAUGCAUGCUAGGAAAUAGGAUACUUUUCACAAAAAGAAAAAAGAAAAAGACAAAAGAUUGCAUGUCUUUGGAGCAGGAUUCUUGUUUCCUGUUUAUGAACAGAGACAUUUACUUGAUUCUGGUUUCAUGUUGUGGAGCAGGCUUUCGUGUUGCUUGUUUAUUGACACAAUGACAUUUAUUAGAACCUGGAAAUUUGUGACAUCUCGUGAUGCAUUGUUCACCGAGUAUAUAUUAUUGACUUGAA